AGUGAACGCUGGCGGUAGGCCUAACACAUGCAAGUCGAACGGCAGCACAGUAAGAGCUUGCUCUUACGGGUGGUGAGUGGCGGACGGGUGAGGAAUACAUCGGAAUCUACUUUUUCGUGGGGGAUAACGUAGGGAAACUUACGCUAAUACCGCAUACGACCUACGGGUGAAAGCAGGGGAUCUUCGGACCUUGCGCGAUUGAAUGAGCCGAUGUCGGAUUAGCUAGUUGGCGGGGUAAAGGCCCACCAAGGCGACGAUCCGUAGCUGGUCUGAGAGGAUGAUCAGCCACACGAGAACUGAGACACGGUCCAGACUCCUACGGGAGGCAGCAGUGGGGAAUAUUGGACAAUGGGCGCAAGCCUGAUCCAGCCAUACCGCGUGGGUGAAGAAGGCCUUCGGGUUGUAAAGCCCUUUUGUUGGGAAAGAAAAGCAGCAGGUUAAUACCCCGCUGUUCUGACGGUACCCAAAGAAUAAGCACCGGCUAACUUCGUG
rnacentral:rRNA from 1 species